rnacentral:rRNA from 1 species
GAUGAACGCUGGCGGCGUGCCUAAUACAUGCAAGUCGAGCGAACAGACGAGGAGCUUGCUCCUCUGACGUUAGCGGCGGACGGGUGAGUAACACGUGGAUAACCUACCUAUAAGACUGGGAUAACUUCGGGAAACCGGAGCUAAUACCGGAUAAUAUAUUGAACCGCAUGGUUCAAUAGUGAAAGACGGUUUUGCUGUCACUUAUAGAUGGAUCCGCGCCGCAUUAGCUAGUUGGUAAGGUAACGGCUUACCAAGGCAACGAUGCGUAGCCGACCUGAGAGGGUGAUCGGCCACACUGGAGCUGAGACACGGUCCAGACUCCUACGGGAGGCAGCAGUAGGGAAUCUUCCGCAAUGGGCGAAAGCCUGACGGAGCAACGCCGCGUGAGUGAUGAAGGUCUUCGGAUCGUAAAACUCUGUUAUUAGGGAAGAACAAAUGUGUAAGUAACUAUGCACGUCUUGACGGUGCCUAAUCAGAAAGCCACGGCUAACUACGU